rnacentral:lncRNA from 1 species
GCCAUUUCGCGGCGCGGGCGGGGCGGGGCGAGGAGGGCGGCGGCGGGGCCGCUGCCCGGGCAGGGGAGGGAAGCGCUGCGUUCGGUCACCGUGUGUUCGGUCACCGUGGUGUGACCCGGCUCCGUGUCAGUCUGGCGGCCGCGCCCAAUUUUAGCUUCCCGGCAGCGCAGCAUCCCUUGGGCGUUUUUCCUUCUCCUUCUCCUUUCCACCCGCCCUGUCCCGCUGUUCGGUACCCGCCGUGCGCAGCCCGACCGGACCCCCUUGUUCUCGCAGAACUGCUCUGAAAAUGGGAGUCCCUGCCUUGUUUUUCCUCCAAAGCCGUGCCCUUAAUUUGCCUUGGAGAUUCAGCAGAUUCUGCUUGCUCACGGUGAUGCUCCGCUUGCUGCUCAAAUUUCUUUGUCUUGGUUUUACUCUUGGCAAUGUGGUUGGGAUGUAUAUUGCUCAGAACUAUGAUAAUGCAGAUCUUACUGACUUCAGUUACAAGAGCAACUCAAACUUUUUCAGGAAGAAUUUCUUCACUGUAGUCAGGCUUGGGAACGGGCUGUCCAGAGAAGUGGUGGAACCACCAUCCCUGCAGGUGUUCAAGAAAUGACUGGGUGUGGCACUUAGUGCUUUGGUCUAGUUGACAAGAUUCCUAACAUUGCGAAGAAGCUUGAAGAUUUUAAGAAGGAUGUGGAGGCUAAGAAGAAACCUCCCAGUGACAAGUCCUGAAAGAGCAGUGUUCCCCAGGUCACCUCUGUGUGUGCAUCAAGGAUGCAAUUUAUCUUUCAGGCAACAAGGGUCAAGUAGAGGGUUGGCAUGGGAGGUUCCUCCACUCUUAGUCUCCUAGAACUGGAAUGUCCUUCUUUUGAGAGAGCAACCGUGAACUUUACCUGGGACUGAUUUUCAAGGGUUUCAGAAUUUCAAUUUGCAGCUGAUGUGUGACUGGAUAAGUUUGUAUUUUUCAUUAUUUCUUUUCCUAAUAUUUUGUAACCCAUUUUUACCUGAUCCAACUGGAGUUGUUAGCCCUGUUACUAUGUGUACCUCACACUUUGUAGUGCCCUAGUCCUUAGAACUUCACAAAAGAAAUUAAAUGCAUCAAGAAGGAACUUUCAGGUUUCUUGUCGUUUGUUGUGAGCAGCGGUACUUCACUGUCUUUAAGAUCCAAUUCCAUUGUUGGAGAUGCCAAACUUCAUUUGUCAAGGUAUGAAUCUGUGGAAGGGGGGGAGCUCCUGCUUUUCCCCUUAUGUUGAAUGAUCACUUCCAGCAGCACAGACUUUGUACAAACAUAGCUGAUUUCAAAAAGUGUAAAAGGCCUUUGUCUCUGCUGCUCCUUCCUUCUCAGGGGGAGGGCUCCUUGUACUCUUUCCCUGCUCCAGUGUGGGUCUUGGUAAAAGGUCACAGAUCUGGGUCACAGGUUAUGGGUCAUGUCAGAGGGAACAGACCUGGGUCAUACUUUCAAGGAGUAUUCUGUUAUCCAGGUAAAGGAAACAGAGCGCACCUUGCGUCUCAGUGCCAGACUCCAGCACUUUCCUGGUGUAAGUGGUG